rnacentral:rRNA from 1 species
UACGUAGGCAGCAAGCGUUGUUCGGAAUUACUGGGCGUAAAGAGUGUGUAGGCGGUGCUCUAAGUUUGGUGUGAAAUCUCCCGGCUCAACUGGGAGGGUGCGCCGAAAACUGGAAUGCUUGAACGUGGGAGAGGAAAGCGGAAUUCCUGGUGUAGCGGUGAAAUGCGCAGAUAUCAGGAGGAACACCGGUGGCGAAGGCGGGUCUCUGGGCCGGAACUGACGCUGAGGAGCGAAAGCGUGGGGAGCGAACAGG